CUGGCCUGCAGAGGGAGGGGAGGACCCCUUUUGCCAGGCUCCCCCAAACAUUGAGCUCUCAGCUUCACCAGCUGCACCCCAUGGGGUCUUCUUUGCCAGCUUUGGCGAGGGUCUGUUCCUCACUGCGCCAAUGCCCCGGCAUGUGAUCUUUGGGCUCAGUGCCAGGCCCAGCUAUCCUGCUGGCACAGUAGGAAGCCAGAAAAGCCCCUACCCACUCCUGCUAGAGCCUAGGGGCUGCUGUUCCCUCUAGGACUCCACCAGGGAGCAGGAGGGGCCUUCACGGGGCUGGUGCAGACCUAAGACCUCCCACGCUUGCCCUCAGCCAGAGCCCUGAGACCCACACCCUCCUCUGCCACCUCCAGAAAAAGCCUCCGGUCCUGGGCACCUUUGAUGACUUCCUUUCCCAUCCGUGCUGCUGGAGAUGUCUACACUAGGAACUCACUGGGAUGGAGCUGUGUCCUGCAGGAAGGGCGGGGUGAGAGCCGGCCAGUGUCUGAGCUCCAGGAAUGGCAAAGAGGAAGCUGCACAAUAUUUCCCAGGGAUCUGUUGAAGUUUGAACAUAAGAGGGAUGACCCAGGACAUCUGGGGGAAGACAUUUCUUCCCUUCCUCCUUCCUUCCUUCCUUUCGAGAUCAAAUCUUAUUCUGUCACCAGGCUGGAGUGCAGUGGCAUGAUCUGGGCUCACUGCAACCUCUGCCUCCCAGGUUCAAGUAAUUCUCCUGCCUCAGCCUCUCCAGUAGCUGGGACUACAGGUCUGCGCCA
rnacentral:lncRNA from 10 species